rnacentral:rRNA from 1 species
ACAGCCGUUGCACACGAGUCAGUCGAUCCUAAGCCCUAGGAGAGAUCCGAUGUCGAUGCGGCGGGGUGGCGACUCCCCGCCCGAGCAGGGCGAAAGGGAAUCCGGUU